GACGAACGCUGGCGGCGUGCCUAACACAUGCAAGUCGAACGGAGUUAAGACUUCGGUUUUAACUUAGUGGCGAACGGGUGAGUAACGCGUGAGGAACCUGCCUCUCAGUGGGGGACAACAGUUAGAAAUGACUGCUAAUACCGCAUAAUGUUUUCGGACCGCAUGAUCUGAAAACCAAAGAUUUAUUGCUGAGAGAUGGCCUCGCGUCUGAUUAGCUAGUUGGCGGGGUAAUGGCUCACCAAGGCGACGAUCAGUAGCCGGCCUGAGAGGGUGAACGGCCACAUUGGGACUGAGACACGGCCCAAACUCCUACGGGAGGCAGCAGUGGGGAAUAUUGCACAAUGGGGGAAACCCUGAUGCAGCGACGCCGCGUGAGUGAAGAAGUAUUUCGGUAUGUAAAGCUCUAUCAGCAAGGAGAAAAUGACGGUACUUGACUAAGAAGCCCCGGNUAACUACGUGCCAGCAGCCGCGGU
rnacentral:rRNA from 1 species